CCUACGGGGGGCAGCAGUCGGGAAUAUUGCGCAAUGGAGGAAACUCUGACGCAGUGACGCCGCGUAUAGGAAGAAGGUUUUCGGAUUGUAAACUAUUGUCGAUAGGGAAGAAAAAAGACUGUACCUAUCAAGAAAGCUCCGGCUAACUACGUGCCAGCAGCCGCGGUAAUACGUAGGGAGCAAGCGUUAUCCGGAAUUAUUGGGUGUAAAGGGUGCGUAGACGGGAUGUCAAGUUAGUUGUGAAAUACCUCGGCUCAACUGAGGAACUGCAACUAAAACUAACAUUCUUGAGUGCAGGAGAGGAA
rnacentral:rRNA from 1 species